UCAAGAUAAGAUUUCCCACCGCAAGGGUAAGACCCCAGAAAGACUAUCUGGUUGAUAGGUCGAAGGUGUAAGUGCGGCAAUGUAUUUAGCUUAUCGAUACUAAUAGGUCGAGGACUUGACCAAUAUUUAUU
rnacentral:rRNA from 1 species